UACAGAGGGUGCGAGCGUUGUCCGGAAUCACUGGGCGUAAAGGGCGCGUAGGUGGCGACCCAAGUCGAUGGUGAAAGCUCGCCGCUCAACGGCGAGUCGGCCACCGAUACUGGGUUGCUCGAGCACUGUAGAGGCUAAUGGAAUUCCGGGUGUAGCGGUGAAAUGCGUAGAGAUCAGGAAGAACACCGGUGGCGAAAGCGCUCUGCUAGGCCGCAACUGACACUGAGGGACGAAAGCUAGGGGAGCGAAUGGG
rnacentral:rRNA from 1 species